rnacentral:lncRNA from 1 species
UGUACGACAUAAACAUGUUCAGUGUGGAUGAGAAGAUAGGAGACGCAGAGUUUGAUAUUAGACCAUUUGUACAAGCGUUUAAGAUGCAUCCAAAUGCCCUACCUAACGGUACAAUAACCACAAGAAUAUUGCCUUCAAGCUCGAAUUGCCUGUCUGAAGAGAGUUUCAUUUUCUGGAAGGAUGACAAUCUAAUGCAGGAUAUGUGCCUCGGAUUGAGAAAUUUCGAAUCUGGCCAAGUCAAACUUCAGCUGCGGUGGAUUGAUAUUCUUCAAGGCUUCGAAUAAUUUUAUUUUUCUUUAUUUCCUUCUUUCUUUUGUAUUUAUGUUGUCAUUACCAGUUUCAUAUUGUGAAAUGGCUAAUCCAGUUACAAAAUUUUGACUUCUGCAGUCCAUUUGGACUUCUGAAAAAUUUAAAAUAAAAAAUUCUGAAAGGGCUAAUCCCCAUCCGAUCGGUCCGGUUUACACCCUUAAAUUCUAUAUGUAUUAAUGGGAUAAAUUUCAGGCACCCUCACCGAACCAUUGCCAUAUUCACAAUUACACCCCAAACAUUUAAAUUUUUGACGUUCACUUCCCUGAACUAUCAACUUGACAAUAAAUUCGACAACUUAUGAUUCAUAUGUAACUCGACAACAUCAAUGUUCACUGAUAACAACAAAAAUGGGCAAUGAAAUAUAUAUACAUACACACAUACAUCUAUAUCUAUACUUCUUAUAAAAUGAUGAAUCUUAGUAUGAUUUCUUCCAUUUUUUUUGGACUAAAAUGCCCCUACGGCCUCUUUUGGUUGGGCCGAUCUGGGUGGAUUGAUCCUCUAAUCCACUCAGAUCUUUGAUUUGGUUCACAACUAGCGGGCUACAGAUUGAUCUUGGGCCCGGGUACCCAUCCGGCAAAUGGCGGAUCGCACAUCAGGCCAAGGGAGGUGAGUUUAGGUGAUCCGUCUAAAUGUCAGCCCAAACCACCAUGUUCUUUUACUAUUUUGUCCUCACUUAUUUCAUGUAUUUACAAAAGUACCCCAUAUAAAUAUCAAUUCUCAUCCCCAAACCGAAGACUGAUACCCUAGAACACAAAUCCCGUAUUUGCGAUUUCACCGGCGUUAAACCUAAUUCCACUCCGUUUCUCGAUUGUGUGGAGAUUGCAAUGGUUUGUAGGUAAUCGAUUGAUCGUUUAUGUUUUAUUAGGGCCCCCUAUUCUGGAAUAUACGCGCAGCAGCUUUUCCGAUCGUCGGUGGAUCGGUGAGCCCUGCCAGAGUUACACCUUCUGGAAAACGGACAAUUUCCGGCUUCCACUACACUAUCUUCGUUGUCAGGUUAGUGAACAAAUUUCCCGACCUUUUUUUGGCAAAAUUGAUUGAACAAUUCCUUGUCAUUACCAAUAUAAAUGAAUGAGGGAGGAGUUAUAUUUUCAAAUGGGAGGUAGGGCCUGGUUAUGACAAAGGUGAAAAGUGCAACUGAUUUUUGUCGAUUGAGUGAGAAGGUUGAAUUCUCACCACCAAGCACUUUGGAAGAAUUGGUGAAAUGUGAAAUAAUUUUGCCAACCAACAACAACUAAUUUCAAACAAGUAGAAAAUAAAUUUGUAGUAUUUGAAAUUGAAAAUUGACCCAUCUAAAACUGUGAUUUUAAAUGGUCAUAUUUAUAAUAUUUUCAAAUUGACCCGUAAGUGCAAAUCACUAAAUAGUUUGACCUUAUAUUUUUGCCGUUUACAAUUAGAACAAGGCGGAACAUGCAUUGCACAAUUUCUUCGUUGCUAACGGGUUUCCAUACUACGACACUUGUGAGUUGGUGUUUGUGGAGAAAGAAGCGGGGGCGAUUGAGUUAAGUGUCGACACAGACUCGCGAUUGACGAAGGAGUUGGAUCGGGCAUUGAGACAGAUAUAUGAAGAUGAUGGGCCGUUUGAGUUUGCCCCACUAGACGAGGCAUAUGCAAUGGUUCCGUAUGAGGGGGGCUCGGAACGAGAACUGCCCUAUUGUGCCGUAUGAGGGUCUGAAUGAAGUUGAACCGAGGGUUAUUAUAGCGACGAGACCGAGGGGUUCUUGGAUUUUACGGAUCGUUGAUAUCGAGCCAAGUAACUCGGUCAUUGUGUUUUCCAACAUUGCUAUGCAUUUAUUUUUCGUUUAAGCACAUUUGAACCCUUGUAUUUGUUUUAUCGUCUUUAUGUUUUUGUGAUUCUGUACUAGUUUGUUUUUCAAUUAUCGAACUUCUGUUAUUAUUCAACUUUAAUUUUCGUGUGAUUCCGUACGACUUUAAUUUCCAAUUAUCAAACAUCUCUAUCACUCCAACUUUGGUUUUUAUAUUUUCACUUUAACAUUUGUAUGUUUAAUAUUAAGUGUAUCUUCAAAAUGCAUAAGAAAAAUUUAAGCAUAUAUUUCCAAAAUUCUGGACAGUAGAAAAUUCAUUAAAAUUAAUGUUGCUAAGUUAAACAAACAAACAUAUGUUGUUAAGUUAUAUAUUCAAUAUAAGUUUAUAAACCUAAAUACGUGAAAAUAUUUAUAAGUAUUUAUAAACCAAAAUACAAUAGAACAUGUAAACUUAAAAAACAAUAUUUAUAAACAUUAUUGAGUGGCGGCGACGAAACAUGAAAAAUAAUAUUACAAACCGAAAUACAAAGGCGAGAAAAUUUAAUACUAACACAGAAAAACUAGUCGACUACAUGGAGGUGGAAAAAUACUACGGUAAAUACUAAUAUUAAUAGUAUGGAAAAAUAUUAGGAAAAACUAGCCGAAAACAUGGCGAUUGGAAAAUUUGGACUGCCGUUGUUCAAUCCUAAACGAUACACUCUUAGAAUGAUGCCUAGUAAUCGUUUGCCCCGUCGAUUGGCCCCUUGCCGUUAUCUCUCUUUGAGGGGCGGUUUGACCCGGACGAGCGAACAAAAUUGGAGGGGCGAUUUUAUAAAACAAGAAAAAUGGUUGUCGUAAGAAGUGGUGGGUUCAAACAGUGUUUUUCAUUAUUUUGGGGUAUAUAAUAUAAUAAUACAAAAAAGAGAGAAAGGGUGGCAUGGUAAAUAACCACAUUAUCUGUCCCAAUCAACCCAACCAUUUGUGAGAUUAGCACACCUAGUUUCAAUCCCAUGGACCCGAAUCCCACCAACCAAAACCGAGAUCCCAUCCAACUAACAUCAAUCCAUACAGUAGAAUUUCAAAAAGAACCCCAAAUCCCAUCCUAUCCCAUCAACCCAACCAAAAGAGGCCUACGAGUAUAUUAGAAUAAGUACAAUUGAAAGGUAACUAAGUCACAGUAAUUUAUAAUAAUUUAACUUAUUAAUAUUUGUGAAUAUUAAAUUACUGUUUCAUUAGUAAAUUGGCAUGUAUAUGAAUAUUUUAUUAAUCCCAUCAUAAUAAUGACGGCUGGUUUUCUCGAUGGUCCGGGAAGUUUCUUUUCUUUUUCCACCAUAUUGAUGCAGACAUUCAAAUGCUACUUAAUUUAGAAUUUUCGGGGUCUUAGUUACAAGUUAAAUUUAGAAUUCAUAAUUUAGAAUUCAUAAUUUAGAAUUUAAGUGCAGACAUUUAAAUGUUACAAGUUAGAGUAAGGUUGUGUUUUAUAGCUCUUAAUAACCUCUUAAGCCACAUUUAUUCAGCAUGUUUGAUGCAAGCCUCUGAAUUGAACAAUUUAGUGCUAACCGAUUCAGCUAAAAAAUUGGAGCUUAUUCAUUAAGUGGCAAUAUUUUGUACCAAUUUAUUCUCAUAAUUAAAGUUUGAUAUCUCCUACCACUUUUUUCUCUUCCCUCAAAUGUUAAAGGAUGCACACAGCUGCAGGCGAAUGGUCCGAAAAAUUUGUCCUUCAAUUAAAAAUUCAAUUUUCUUUUCUUUUAUCUAAAAGAUAUUUUUAGUUAAAUAUAAUGAAUUAUAUUCAAAAAUUACACUUUUAUAUAUUUUUCAUAAUUAGGACUAGAUUUAUUCAGACAUAUUUAUUUUUAUCAAAACAAGUUGAUCACAUUUUGAGGCCUAUAUAAAUAUGAUUUCUCACGGACUUGUCCUACUGUUGGUAUAGUGAAACUUAAUUUUCAUACUUUUUAACUAAUUUUAUCGAUUAUGUGUUUUUAGUGAAAUUUUAAAAUUAGAAGUUUACUUUAAUAUAUUUUUCAGAAAUACAUAUUUUAGAUUUACACUAUUUAAUUUUUUUCAAAGUAAAUUUAACAAAAUAAUAAUUACAAGGGUCAUAAUUAAAAUUUUAUUUAGGUAGUAUUGAUAAUUUUGUUAAAUAUAAAUAUAUGUUCAACAAUUAUGAGGACUAAUAUAGUCAAAUUACAUUAUUCAAAUACAAUAUUUUUCAGUUAUCAAACAAACUUAAACGUUCAACAUUCAACAUUUCGACACUGAUUUUAAUCAUCCAGACAUGUAUUCAGCAUUCGGUGUUCAGUGCUUAAUUUUGUCAAACACAACAUAAUAUUAAGUGGAAAUGUACAAGCCAUGGUCAAGAUACUCACAAUUGUUGGAAUAAAAAUCGUUUUUCUUUUGUGUAAAAACAAAAUCGCCUCUCUUUGUGUAAAAUAACCUAGAUUCCACCCAAUUUUUUUUACAUAUCUACCAGACCUACUCAGAAGAAAUGUCGUCCCAAGAACACGAAGGGCACGGUCAAAAUCUUGAAUGUUUUCAUCGCUUCUAAGAAGCCACCAAUACAUUAAAAAGUUUUGGAAUGUUUGCAAAGUUCAACAGUGUGUGUGAUAUCAAUGGUAAGGAUAAUUUGAAGUAUUGAAUAUCUCAUUCGAAGUUGUCAUAUUAUUAUCUUUUAUGUGACUUUGCAUACUAUGUGCAGGAUAGUGUGGAAGAUUAAUAGAAAAUAUUUUACGUCUAUAUAUUAUAGAAAUAUACAUAAUUGAAAAAAUAUACAAUGUUAAAUUUUCAAAGAAUAUCGGUUUUUGGAUGACUUUUAAUAUUUUCUACAAUGAUACAUGCAUAUUUGGUUGAUAUAUUUUGAUAUUUCUGAAUCCUUCGAGUAUAUCCAUGAUGCAGGUCAUAUGUUAGAGAGACAAGAUCAACAAAGACGCGAAAUGGGAAAUAAGAAGGAAGUGUAACUAUGGGGUGGUAAACGAUGAGCCGGCUCGAAAAAAACUCGAAUUCGGACUCGAGUCGAGCUCGAACUCGAGCUCGUGAGCUUUCUGACGAGUCGAACUCGAGCUAGGUUUUAGUUGUUCGUGAGCUCACGAGCCGGCUCGCGAGCAAUAUUUAUUAUUUUUCUUAAAUUAUUAGUUUUAUAUAUUUAUUUUUUAUUUAAAUAAUGUAUAAAAAUAUAAAAUAUUAUAAAAUAAAAUAAAAAUAUUAAAAAAUAUAUAUAAUUACAAUUUAUUGUUUAUUUUGUAAUUUUUUUAAAAUAAUUUUUAAUAAUAAUAAUAAUAAAAAAAAAAUGAGCUUGGGCUCGAGCUCGAGCCUGCCAAAAGAGGCGAGCUCAGCUCGUUCACACCCCUAAGUGUAACCUUCGUAAUCGGUUGCUCUUCAGAAGGAAGCCGUAUCAAAAUGUCAAAACGUGGUAAGAUUGAUGACUAAUUUCAUGAACUUCAAAGUUUAAGGACUAAAAUCAUUUUCGAUGCCAAUAGGGAUCAAAAGGGUAAUUAUCCGUAUUUAUAACCAUUAACUUAUGGAUUAAUCUCAAAAAAGCCCAUGAAAAAGACACUUAACUAAAAGAGGGACAUCCAACUUUUUUGUCUUUCAAAUAAAUCCAGCUCAUUCAAAUUUAUUUGCAAAUAAGGGAAAUCCUUUUAUAUAUACCAAAAUUACCAUCAAUUUAUUGAAACCCAAUUCAACUCCAAUUUCAUGAUUUACACCACAAUUUAGCCCAAUUUCACCAAUUAACAUAUUUUAACCAUAAUUUCAAUUUUGACCCUAAUUUUGACCUGCAACCAUUGGAGACCGCCGGUCUCCGACGUUGACCUUUUUUUUUUUGAUAAUUUUUUUUUUCAGAUUUUUUUUCCGGUAGGUCAACUGCCGUUGAGCGCCUGGUCUCCGGCGUUGACUUUCUUUUUUUAUUUUUAAUCCUAUAUUUUUUUUCCUUAAAAAAUAUAUUUUAAUUAAUAUUACUGUCUUGGCUGCUAAAUUACUGUCUCCAACAGUUAUUUAACUGUCGGAGACAGUAAUUUAAUUGUUAAUUGACUUUAUUCUUAAUUUUUUUUAAUUAAUAUUACUGUCUUGGUUGCUAAAUAAAUGUCUCCAGUAGUUAUUUAACUGUCGCAGACAGUAAUUUAACUGUUAAUUGACUUUUUUUUCUCUCAAAAAAUAUUUUAAUUAAUAUUACUGUCUUGGCAGCUAAAUUACUGUCUCCAGGAGUUAUUUAACUGUUAGGGACAUUUAACUGUUAGGGACAAUAACUUAACUGUUAAUUGACUUUGUUUUUCUUAAAAAAAUAUUUUAAUUAAUAUUACUGUCUUGGCUGCUAAAUUACUGUCUCCAGCAGUUAUUUAACUGUCGGAGACAGUAAUUUAACUGUUAAUUGACCUUUUUUUUCUUACAAAAAUAUUUUCAUUAAUAUUACUGUCUUGACUGAUAAAUUACUGUCUCCAGCAGUUAUUUAACUGUUGGAGACAGUAAUUUAACUGUUAAUUGAACUUUUUUUUCUUAAAAAAAUAUUUUAAUUGAUUUUUUUUUUCAAAUUUCUUUUUUUCUUAAAAUAAGUUAUUUUAAUUAAUAUUACUGUCUUGGCUGCUAAUUACUGUCUUAGACAGUAAUAUUAUUGUUUGGAACAAUAAUAUUAGUAAUAGUACUGUUCGGAAAUAUAAUAUUCAUAAUAUUAUUGUCCCAAACAGUAAUAUUACUGUUUGAGACAGUAAUUUAGCAGCCAAGACAGUAAUAUUAAUUAAAAUAAUUUUUUCGAAGAAAAAACAAAUUUAAAAAAAAAAAGUCAACGGUGGUUGACCGGCCGGAAAAGAAUUUUAGAAAAAAAAAGGGUUUUCUCAAAAAAAAAAUCAACGCCGGAAUCUGGCCGGAAAAAAAAAAUUCAGAAAAAAAAUUAUUUUUUGAAAAAAAAAAUUCAAAAAAUUAUUAUUUUGGGGGUUAAUGUGAUAUAUUUAUUUAAAUUCGGGAUCAAUGUGUAAUAUUAAGGAAGUUAGAGCAUAAUGGAUGGAAUUGAUAAGAAUCAUAUUAUGGAGGGUAUUUUAGACUAAAGACACGGGGAUGAAUUUAUUUGAAAGACUGUUUUAUUUGUGGACCAAUAUGCAUUUACGCCUCUUGUGAUGGACCUUUUUGCCUUUCGCCCUUAACUUAUUUUGUUAGAGCUAAUUGCACAGAACCCCUGUGCAAUCUUGAAUGACUAAAAAAUUCCCUAUGUUAAAACAAUUAACACAAAUCCCCUACGUUAUUUUAUAUGAAGCACACUGCCGCUUCGUUAAAAUUAGGUGUUGACUUUUAUACAAUGACUAAUUUGCCCUACAAAAGAAACAUGAAAUUGUAGAAGAAAAAAAAUGACACAAAAGAAAUUCGAACAAAACCCAAUGCCAUCUUCUCCAACACACAGAAAAAUCUUAUUAAAAGAAAACUCUUGAAAAAAAAUGGUGUGAAAAAAGGAGGAGCAAUUGCUCUUUUUCCCUUUUUUUUUAAUAAUUCUUCACUCAAAUCCUCCCCAAAACAUUCAUCUCCUUAGAUUAUUAUAAUUUUCAGUAAUCAUUCCUCACAAGUCGCCAGAAUCGAAGUGUUACUGUUCAAUUUGUCCGAAAAAUGAUUUCCCGCGUCGAAUCUACAUCGAACCAAACCCCACAUUUAGAAAUUGCCAACCAUCGAUUUCGCCGGAAAAUGUUUGCCCCAUAGAAUUACCUUUAAACAGGCCCCCACCCUUAUUUCUUGUCGGAAUAACUCCCCGUAGUCGGAGGGCGGUGGUGGGAGGCAGGGGCGGACCCAGGGGGGUUUUCUUGGGGCUGAAAUAUAGGAGUAAUUUAAGAGAAGUUUUUUUUUGGUUUUGGGGACUAAAGUGUAAAAAAAUUAAAAAUUUGGGGGGAGGGGGCGAAAGUGCAUUAAUUAAUCCAUAAAUACCAAAAAAAAAAAAAAAAAAAAAAAAAACAGCAUAGAAAAAAAACUUGGGGGGGGGGGGGGGGGGGGGGGGGGGGGGCCCCCCAGCCUUAGGCAUGGGUACGCCCCUGGUGGGAGGAAAGGGGCGGCUGUAGGAGGAGGAAAUUCGGGGAAAAAGACGAUUUUUUAAGAGUUGGAUCGUGAAGCAUGGUCAAAUAUACUUUUUUGUACGUACCCUCAAAUUUUUAGACCUCUUGUAAUUUUUUGGUUUAUCUUCCAUAUAUUAAAGUUAUCAUAUAUGAUGCAACAUUACAUAUAUGAGUUCAUAUAAAUGGGAUGCACAUUUCCUGUAUGCAGCAAAUGAAGAACAAGAAAAAGAGAAACAGAGGAUCAAGUGUGCACUGCAACAAUAUCGGAAACUACUUAAAGAAUAUUGCGGGGAAGUUGCUGCCGCUGUGGGGUAAUUUGCUAUCUGGCUUUGUUUCUUUUCAAAGUGUAAGUAAUUUCGUUACGAAAUGAGUAUCAAAUUUUUCAUGUUAAAAAUAUACUAUAUAUUAUUUUAUAUAAGUUAUUGUUGUAUAUGUUAUUAAUUAAUGUUUACAAUAUAAAGUAUUGGUAAUUGAUCUAAUUCUAGGUAGUGGUAUAUCGUCCAUGCUAUACAAGAAGGACAAGUGCAACAUGAUUAACUCAAUAAGUAUUUUAAAUUAGGGUUUAUUAGGGAUAACCCCUUGUUCACAUUUUCUAAUGAGGUAGAUCCAAUUUUUUUUCCCCUUUUUGAGAUAGACCCAAUUUUGACAACUUGGCAAAAUUUAUUAUGUAAUUUUCCUUUAACACCCCUGUUUUAUUUUUAAUCCGCAUUUAUUUCCUUUACUACGUGAUUUGAGAUUUGCUAAUACGUUGCCUAAAAUCACGGAAUAAAACAGCGUGAGAUCAUUGGCCGUUAUAUCAAAUCGUGUCUAUCAAAUCGUGUAGAAUUUUUUUUUGAAGAUUUAUCCAGCGUUUCAUCGUUUUAAUCGCUUUUUAAUGUCUACGGUGGUCAGAAGUUUUUAAGAGUUGUGUUGAUACUUGAUUAUAUAUACAUCGUUAUUUUCGCCGGAUGAUGUUUGUUUGGAAGAGGAUUGACAUAGUUAGAAGAGGAUGGUUCACGCAGAUCGGACCAGAGUUGUUUUAUAUGAGCUUCGUAGUUGGUUUAUGCAAUAAUCGGAAUAAUUGUCCGCUGUGGUCGAGUGAGUUUUUCAUCCCAAUCGAUAGUUGCUUUAUUUGUUUAUAGCAGCCGAUUUAAGUGUGCUGGGUAGUACAUUAAAAAAUCGUUCGUAGUCUUGUUUAAUUCAGUUUCCAUAUUUAUUAUUAUUUUUCCAAUAGUCAAUCAACUAAACCCAUAGUCGCAUUAGAUACAUGGGAUAGUCUAUUAAAAGAUAUGGGAUAGUCUAUUAAUUUUAAAAGACCCAUCCGCCGCCGUCACUUCUCAAAUCUAGGGUUUUGUUCAUUCUUAGGCCCAUAGUCGAUUAACGAGAUCCAUAGUAAAACUAUACUAGUGUGCUAGUAUAUUAAAUGAUAUGAGACAGUCUAUUAAGAAAAACCCUAGUCCCACAACAUAAAAACCCGAACCCCCUAAAACCCUCCUCUCUUCUCGCGACAACUCUGCCUCAAUCGGCGUUCACUCCAUCCCGAUGACAAUGUUAGCUAUUCGGAGAAUGUUUGGAAUCUCAUCUCCCUACAUCCGUCAUUACUCCGCCAAGAUCUCCCCCGAAGCUCCGAUCUCCUCCGGCAACCCUCCGCUCCAUCCUUCCGAGCCCGCCCCCAAGGUUCUCUUUUUCUGUAUUCAUCCCCACCGCAUUUCAUCAGCUCAGGUUUUGAUUUGUUUAUUCAUUUUUAUUUUGAAUAAAAAUUGAUUAAAAUUUUUAUGUUUUUAUUCUUGCUAUUGGGUCUCAAGUGGGAAGCCCCACCGAUGGGAAAACUCAAAAUAUCGACGGAUUAUUCAGCCAAGUUUGUGGAGAUUAAGGAUAAAUCAAAGUCUACAAGUCAGGGCCGUAUCGUAAAAAAAUCAAUUCUUACGGGUGAGGGCAGUGGUGCCGUAAUCAGAAACCACCUCGGGGAGGUGCUUCAUAAACAAGUUUGGAAAAACACAUCGGGCAAAACCAAUGUAGGAGAGCUACAGGCCUUUUUGAAUAGUUUGGUGUGGUGCUUAAAACUUUUUCCGAAGAAAGAAGACAGAGAGAAAUUAAUUUUUGAGACAGAUUCCAAAAACUUGGCUUAUGUAAUCAACAAUGGGAGUGGCUACAGGGAUGCGGAUGCUCAAGAGAUAUUAGACACUGUGCGAACUGAUAUGACAAAGUUCAAUAUUACUAGUAUUCUCCACGUCGUAAAGGCGAAAAAUCAAACAGCAGACGCUUUGGCCAAUCUAGGCCAACUUGGUGCAGAUAUCACAGAUAGCACGAACAUGGAGGUCGAUGAGACCUCUAAAUUUGAAUUUGAUGAGAUAGAUCACUAUAAAAAAAAAUAUACCAAACAUGUUGAAGAAGACAAAAAGGGCUUGUCGCUUCUCUUUUGAAAUUAUGAGAUUAUUAAUGUACUAUUUUAUUGGUUAUGUUGGAAUACUUUACGUUUGUGUUGUUCUCAAUGUUCUUGUCAUUUCAGUGCUAUAUUGUUUGUAACACAAUUUCAUGUCACUACUAUAACCGUAAUAUACUAUCAUAUAAGAUUAAUGUACUAUAUUGUAAUUAUUAAUAUACUAGGUGGAUGAAUAAUACGGGAUACAUAGUCGAUUAUCGAGAUCCAUAGUCGAAUUAGCUCAAUAACACAGUCUAUUACAUGAUAUAAGGAAAAUUACCCUAAUUGAUUAGUAUUUCAAACAAACAUAUUAUUCAGUUUCCAUAUAUAUUAUUAUUUUUCAUAUAUAUUAUUACUUACCCUAAUCGUUUUCAUAUAAUAAGGAAAAUUACCCUAAUUGAUUAGUAUUUCAAUCAAACAUAUUAUUCAGUUUCCAUAUAUAUUAUUAUUUUUCCAAUAGUCAAUUAACUAAAAACAUAGUCGAAUUAGAUACAUGGGAUAGUCUAUGAUAAGAUAUGAGAUAUUCUAUUAUAUUUAAAACACAAAUCCGACGCCGUCACCGCUCAAAUCUAGGGUUUUGAUGAUUCUUCGGCCCAUAGACGAUUAACGAUACCCAUAGCAAAAUUAUAUCUGUUGUAUAGUGUAUUAAGUGAUAUGGGAUAGUAUAUUAAUACAGAUGUAAUUCGACUAUGCAUCUCGUUAAUCAACUAUGGGCCGAAGAAUCAUCAAAACCCUAGAUUUCAGUAAUCCUACAUUUGAGAAACCCUAGAUUGGAGCAGUGACGGCGACGGCGACGGCGGCCAACGACGCUAUCACUUCGGUAUGCGAUUAUAACAUAUCUGCAAUUACACAAACGUGAUAGUCGAUUUAGCCAAAACAUAUCAACAAAUCGAUGGACGAUAGCGACCGGCGAAGACGUACCUACGGCGGCUUGCUCGGAGUCCACGAAAAUCAUCGUUUCACGGCAGUGCAAAUUUCGCCGGUCGGGAGGUUUUGCAGCUUUUUUGAUAGUGGGUUUGUGGUGAUAACGUUUUAACGGGAAAAUAGGGAGAUAUUUGAUAUUAUUUCAAAAGGUAAAGUAACGGGAUUUGUGGGAUUUGAUUGAGGGUAAUUAUGUAAUUUACAAACGUUUGGGUUUUUAUCAAAAUGGCAAGGUUAAGUUUGGGUCUACCCCUAUUAUUUGAAUGUUUAAGGGGGUUAUGUCUAAUAGACCCUUUAAAUUAAUAGAAUGUUUGAAAUUUUAUGUAAUGUUAUUGCCUUACUAAUACCAAAGUAUUAUACAAAUCCGUGUGUAUAGUAUAUUUAAUGUUUAUAUACUACUUAUUAAAUAAGAAUAUUUAAUGUUAAUGGUAUUAACUAGGGGUGCAAGUUGGAACGAAAUUUCCAAUUUCCGCCGGUUCCAAUCCGAAUAGUUCCGAUUUUGGAACAACUUUUUUCAUUCCGACUUCCGAAAAUCCGGUUUCCGGUUUUUUCCGAUUUUUUUGGAUUGGAAUUGGAAUUAUAUAAAAUAUAUAUGGAAUUUCCGAUUUCCGGUCCGAUUUAAUUCUGAAAUUAAUUCCGGAAAAUUCCGAUUUUUUUCCGAAAAAUACACUUAUAAAUAUAUAUAUAUAUAUAUAUAUAUAUAUAUAUAUAUAUAUAUAUAUAUAUAUAUAUAUAUAUAUAUAUAUAUAUAUAUAUAUAUAUAUAUAUAUAUAUAUAUAUAUAUAUAUAUAUAUAUAUAUAUAUAUAUAUAUAUAUAUACUUUUGAACUGAAAUUUAGUAGUUAUUAUUUUUACUUUUAUCGACAUGGAUGUUCUUAUUUUUUAAAAAUUAUGAACAUUUUAGAAAAUUUCGGCUAAGUUUUGAAAUUUUAAAGCUUAUGUGAUUUCCGAUUUUUUUCCGAAAUUCCGAAAUUUCCGGGGCUUUUGGAAUUGGAAUGAAUUUUUAGAUUACGAAAAUUUUGGAAUUGGAAUUGGAAUUGAUUUUGUACUUCCGAAUUUUUUUGGAAUUUUUCCGAAAAGGCUAAUUCCGAUCCGAUUCAUCCGACUUUCACCCCUAGUAUUAACUAAUAACUAUAUAAUUUAUAGAGCAAACUUCAUUUUGCACCCCCGUACUAUGCGAAAUAUAUCAUUUACCCCAUCCCCUUAUGUAUGGAAAACAUCAAACACCCCAUGUCGUUAGCAUGUUUCCUAAUUUCCGUUAGUCAAACCCUUUGACCGACUAUUACAAAGAAAUGUUGGCUUUUUUUUUUUUUUUUUACGAAAAUACCCCAAAAAAUUUCUAUAUAUCUUCUUAAUUUUGAUAAAUGUUCAUCUGAUUAAUUAUUUUUUAGCAUUUUUUUCACUUUAUUCAGUCAUUUUCUUUCUUUACUAUUUUCAGCCAUUUUUCUUUAAAUUUUUUUGAUAAGUCGAAUAAAUAAGAAUGAAGCUUUGUAGAUUAUGAAUGUAAAACCCACAAAAGAUAAAACUAAAAGUCCUGAAAUCUAAAAAAACCCCUAAAAUUAGAAUAAAACCAUAUGAAAGAAUUACAAAUUAAACUCAAAGCUUUUCAUAUUAUUAUAGGAAACUUCUUCGAGAAAGAAAACUGAAAAUCUCUAAAAUCAAACACUAAAAUUGACAAAAAUCUACAAUUUGAACUUACGCUAAAAAUCGUCAACAAUCCACAAAAAGUACGCCUAAAAAAGUUAGCAAUUAUAUAAGACAUAAAGCAGGGUAAAGAAGUCAUUGCAUAUACUCAGAUUUAAUACCGUUAAAGAUUUGACCAUUGACCGUUAAAAAUAGGGAGGUAUUUGAUGUUUUCUAUACAUCUUGGGGUAAAUGAUACCGUUGACAUAGUACAGGAGUGCAAAAUGAAUUUUACCUAGAUUUAUAUUCGGGAGGUGAUAAAUGUCGUUUCAGUUUUCAUAAUGUCGUUUUGACUUCAAACGUGAUUUUGACCAUUUUCGAGUUUGAAUUUGGCAAAAUUCAGAACAUGGAAUUUGUAAUUCUUUGAGUUAGCAUUCUAAUCUAAUUUUAAUCGCCAAGAUUGGAUGUCGGUUGAGAAAGUUAUGCAUGAAUUAAUGAACACUGCCCACAACUUUGAUGUUUUAAAUUAUGUAAAAUUUAAAACGUAACUCAUGCAUGCAUAACUUUGUCACCCGACAUCCAAUCCAGGUGAUUCAUGUUGUAUUGGAAAGUUAUCUCAAAGGACUACGGUUUCCGUCUUUCGAACUUUGCCAAAUUCAAAAUAGAAAAUAGUCAAAAUCACUUUCGAAGUCAGAACGACAUUAGUAAAAUUAAAACGACAUUUAUCAUUUCAGUUUAUAUUCAUAUAGUGAACACCAAUCAAAUAAUCGGAGAAAUACAUAAACUUAUAACAUUCAGUGAACUUUUUUUUUCUUAGACUAUCAAAAAACAAAUAUUAUAUGAAGGCCAGUAAGGGAAAUAUACAUUAAAAAUCUAUGCACGAAAAUGUGAUAGGGUUCCAAAAGAAAAAAAAAGGUGGUUGCAAGGGAAAAAAAAAACUAAAAAGAAAAGGAAAGAAAAUAAUAAGUAUAAGAAGAAGCAAAGUAAAUAACAUUUUUUAUUGAUAACUAUGAGCACAUCAAAUUUUGGGAAAAGAUAGAAAAAGAUACCCAAAUUAUAAAGAUAUAAUAAAACAAAAUAAAAUAAAAUAAAAAUUAUUAGACUUAUGAAUGAAAAUAUAAGUAGAAUGUAUGAGUCUAAACAUAUUGCAAUCUUAAAUUAAGAGGGUGUUUGGCUAGUCUUAUAAGUUAUUAAAAAUAACUUGUAAGACGUUUAAGAGUAUAAACUUUUCUAAAGUAUUUGGUAAUUUAAAAAAAAAUCUAAAAAAAUUCAAAAAAUAAGCGGCUAAAGAACAAAUAAGAUUUUAAUUUUUUUUUAGCUCUACCUCACCUUUUUAUUUAAGAUAUUACAUUGAGUAAAAAUAGUUAUAAGAAGAUAAUAUCAUUAUCCAAACACUUUAAAAAUUAAUUUAAGAAAUAAGGCGUAACAUCAUCAACGUUUAGAAGGUGUUUGACUAAGCUUUUAAGCUGUUAAAAAGAAGUUAUAUAUGUUUAAGAGCUGAUAAGCUCUUCCAAAGUGUUUGUUAAUUUAAAAAAAAAAAAGAUCUUAAGAAUUCAAAAAAUAAGCUAUUAAAGAGCAAAUAAAUGAACUCAAGACGUGCAACGCACGUCCACUUUCCUAGUAUUUUAAAAUAUCUCAAAGGGAAUAUUGGUAGGGUGUUUAUGAUGAAGACCUUAUUGUUAUCAAAUGUCAAAUGUUGACAGAGUCGCUAAUUAGACAACUUAAUUAUGACUUUGCUCUUCUUGUUAGUGUCUAAGAAAUCAACAAGUUUUUUUCUUAGCACUGCUACUUCAAUAGUUUGCUAAUCAAUCUCUGAAAUUGUUUGUAAAAACAAGAUGGCUGCAGCUUAUGCAGCUUUAGUUUCUCUCACUCAUACUAUUGAUCAGAUCCUCGAUACACCUCCCACCCUUCAUAUCAUUGUUGAUAGAAAACAGAUUGAAAUUCUACAAAAAAAGGCAGACUUGUUGUUAGAUUUUCUCGAAAAUUAUACAAGCACUAGAGGCGACCAAGAGAUUGAACAUUUGGAGAUGAUGAUCGGCGAUGCAGCAUAUGCAGCAGAAUAUAUUAUCGAAUUCAAUGUGAUGAACCAAAUUCUUGCAGCACGAUCUAGAUCAGAUAGAGAAGAAAGCUCCAAUCUCUUGUUUGAAGGUGUAGAAAUUUCAAUACAAGAGUUCCUUUUCAUUGAGAAAGAGUUGGUGAAAUUCAAGAAAGAUAUGCAACGACCUAAUAACUACUACUUAACAACAACAAAAGCUAGUUCUUCUUCUUCUUCAUCAAGGCCUCUUCUUCCGGCCGGUGGCAAAAACAAGAUGGUGGGAUUCAACGACCACAUGGAUGAAAUUAUGGGCGCUCUCUCCACCAACGAAUCUAAUCUUCGGAUCAUCUCUAUUGUUGGAAUGGGAGGCAUAGGUAAGACUACCCUUGCCAUUAAUGUUUCUAACAAUCCCUAUAUUGUGGAGCACUUUCAGCUACGUGCUUGGUUUACGGUAUCCCAGGAAUAUACUGACAAGAAGAUUCUCCUAGGCCUUUUGCAUCAGAUCAACAAUACAUAUAGAAAUGCACAUGAGAUCGAUGAUGAUGAUGAUGAUUAUGCAAUAGGAGACAUACUGCACAAAACUCUAUUUGGGAGGAAGUAUUUGAUAGUAAUGGAUGACAUGUGGGAUAUCAAAGCAUGUGAUAUGGUAAAAAGGUUCCUUCCUGAUAAUAAUAAUGGAAGUCGAAUCUUGGUAACUACUAGGCUGAUGAAGUUGGCUGUAGAUAUUGGAUCUCGUGGCCCUUAUCAACUGAAUCUUUUAGAAAAAUCACAGAGUUGGGAUUUACUCCGUGAAAAGAUAUUUGCAGAAGAACGUUGCCCCGAUGAAUUGGAGGGAACUGGAAAAAGUAUUGCAAAAAAAUGCAACGGACUUCCAUUAGCCCUUGUUGUGAUUGCUGGGGUUCUUGCAAAGUCCAAGACAAAAGAACAUUGGGUGUCAAUUGAAAAAGAUGUAACUUCAGCAGUAAACAAUCAAGAUGAUGAGUCAUGCAUGAAGAUACUAUUGUUGAGCUAUAAUAACUUGCCUAUACAUCUAAAGCCUUGUUUCCUUUACUUUGCCGUGUUUCCUGAAGAUCAUAUCAUCAAAGUGGAAAGGCUGGUCAGGUUGUGGGUUGCUGAAGGAUUUAUUAGGCAGUGUGGGCAUAAAAGCUUAGAAGAAAUUGGAGAGGAGUACUUGGAGGAUCUUAUUGAUCGAAAUCUCAUUUUGGUCGAUUGGCGGUCAGUUACGGGAGAAGUGACCGACUGCCACAUUCAUGAUGUUUUAAGUAACCUAUGCAGAAGAGAAGCUCAGAAAGACAAUUUUAUUUUCUCGUUCGCUAGAAAGCUUUAUAACCCCGAUAUAUUAACUUUCAUGAAGAUCACACCACGUCUCAGCAUUAAUGGUGGAAAAUGGAAAGGGACGAAACAUAAGCCAUAUACAUCACAGAUACCUACACGGUCUUUGUUAUGCUUCUCUAAAGGGGCUUCAACUGAUUACACGACUCGUCGGUUUCCAUUACUACGAGUAUUGGAUGUAGUUGAUAUAUAUCCCAAAGAUGAGAUUCUACAGCUAAUUUACUCAAGGUAUGUUUCUUGCAUGGGUCUGAUGAUGUUGCCGUCUUCAAUAUCCCGACUUUGGAGCCUACAAACAUUAUUUGUUGAUGGAGCGUUGAUUCUGCCAGGUGAGAUAUGGCAGAUGCCCCAACUUCGACAUGUUGAGGCCAACUCUAUUAUCUUGCCCGAUCCUCCGCCUCCAGAUAAUGUCCAGAAAAUCAUACUUCUUGAAAAUUUACAAACACUUUCAGGAGUCGUAGAUUUUGAAUGCAGUGAAGCGGUAAUUAAUAGAAUCCCUAAUGUGAAGAAGUUGGAAAUUGUUUGUGGGACAAUUGGGUCUAAUUGUUUAAGGAAUCUUGGACUUCUCCAUAAACUCGAACAACUUUAUCUGAAAUUAAAUACUGGUACUAGUUGCUGUGGAGAAAUUGUCUUCCCAAGUUCACUUAAAGAGUUGAUGUUAAGUGAAUGCAAGAUUCCUUGGGAAGAUAUGUCAGUUGUUGGUUCUUUGCCCAACCUUCAAGUUCUCGAGUUGCGUAAAAAUGCUGCUAUAGGGCAAAAGUGGAUUCCAAAAGAAGGGGAGUUCACUCGACUGAAGUUCCUAUGGAUUCACGAGUGUGAAUUGGAGAUAUGGGAAGCAGACAACACACAUUUCCCAUGUCUAGAGCAGCUACAUCUUGGAUGCUUAAACCUCAUCGAGAUCCCUUUAGAUUUUGCCGAAAUAUUACCACUUCGAGGGAUUAACUUACAUCACUAUAGCAGCAAUGACCUUUUGGCAUCUGCAAAUGAAAUAUCAGAGCGACGAGAGAACCUAGAUUACGAUGCUCUUUAUGUUAAUAAUAUUACAUUUGGAGUGCUCAAUAUUUGGGUGAAGAGAGGUAUUAAUCUUGCUGUUGGUGGUGGAAAUCCUUAUGUUGUUAUCACAAUGGCCAAUCAGGUUUCGUGUUCCUACUUUUUGAUGGUUUUUUUUUGUUCAUUAAUGUUAUUUUUACCUUCGUCAUAAUAUUCUUUUAGACAAAAAGGAUAACUCAUUCGCAUUAAAUAUGUUGUCUUUCGAAUUUUCAAAAACAAAUUUGCAAUUUAGUAUAAAUCUUGAUGAUGCAGAGUGUGGAGACUCGUGUUGUGGCAAAUGAUGUUCAUCCUAUAUGGGAUGAGGCACUCACAAUUUACGUUUUAGAUCCUAGCCGUCCAGUUUCUCUGGUGAGAUUCUCUAAUUUAAGAUAAAAAUAAAUUUCGCAACUAGUUUUGCAAUAUUUAUUCUCACCAUUUUUCUUCGUAGAUCCAAAAUCUGUAGUUUCAAAUAUGUUAUGUGUAUAUGCUGAUUCAUAGUUUGUGAUUCUUACCAUUUUUCUUCGUAGACAGUGCGAGACCAUAACAAGUUUAGCAACAUGGAUAACAAGAUGGGUAAUGCAGUGAUUGAUAUUAAACCAUUACUAGAAGCCGGUUGGGUGCAUCAAAAUGGCCUUCCAAACGGUACAAUAAUCACAAGAAUAUUGCCUUCAAGCUCCAAUUGCCUGUCUAAAGAAAGUUCCAUUGUCUGGGAAAAUGGGAGAGUAAUACAGGACAUGUGCUUGAGAUUGGAAAAUUCCGAAUGUGGCCAAGUCGAACUUCAACUCCGGUGGAUUGAUUAAAUAGUAUCUGGUGAAAUCGAACUUCGGUCGAAUGGUUGAAGUUCCUACUUCCACUAAUUUAAGGGUGUGAUUGGAUCAAAUUAACCAUCGAGUAAAAUAGUGAAAUUGCAAUGUAAAAUAAUUUAUAUGUUAAACGAAAUCAUAAAUUUAAAUGGAAAUUUUGUUUUAUUGUAAUUUCGGACAUGUAUAGUAAUUUUUUUAAUUCAUAGGAGGUAUAGAAGAAGAAGAAAUAAAUGUAACAUCAAUUUGAUUCAUAAAAUCGAAAUGGCUAGUCCAAAUAAUUGGAGAAGAAUGUAGUAGAAGGUGACUCGUUGGAGGUUAUAUUGCCGCAGUUAGUGAAUCUUCAAGUUCCGAAGCUCCAUACAUGAAUAACAUAGAGGAUAUCGAGCGGGCGAGUGAGUAGUUUGAGAAUUUUUUGAUACAACACGUUUCAGGGGAGGCCAAAUAAGUAGCUCAUGAAGUAAAACAACUUUGUCGGAAGACCGAUAAUUUCUCUAUUUAAGUGAUCUAUGUAGGAGAGAAGCUCAGAAACAUAAUUUUAUAAUCCCUUCCAAACUAGUAACCAGAUCCUCCUCAGAAUUAAUGGUGGCCAAUGUAAAGAUAUGACACUAACGACAUCUAUUCGGUCUUUCUUAACCUUUUAUUCUGCGAAUUUGUCUACUUAUACUGCUCCUCGGUCUCCGUUAAUACGGGUAUUGGAUGUGGUUGAUAGAUAUGUCUCUUGCACGGGUUUGAUCUUUAUGUCGCCGUUUAUAUUAUCCCGACUUUGGAGCCUACAAACCCUAGUUGUUGGUGGAGAGUUGACUCUCGCUAUUGAGAUAUUGCAGAUCCUCCUUCACGUGGCGAAAAAAUCACAAUGCUUGAAAAUCUAAAAACACAUUCAAUAGUCAAAGAUUUCAAAUGUACUAAAGAGGUAACUAAACAAAUCCCGAAUCUGAAGAAGUUGGGAAUUGUUUAUCCGGCAAUUGGAUCUUAUUGUUUAAGCAAUCUCGGCUUUCUCCAUAAACUUGAAUCACUUAGUCUCGCAUUUGUUGGUACGCUUGGUCUUUCCAAGUUCACUUAAAAAGUUGGCCUUAAGUGAAUGCAAGAGAAGAUAUGCCCAUUGUUGGUUCAUUACCAAAUCUUGAAUUUCUCAAAUUGUGGUCGAAUUCCGCCGUAGGGAAAAAGUUGAUUUUGAAAUGAAGGGGAAUUCGCUCGACUAAAGUACUUGUUGAUUCAUGAGUGUGAGUUGGAGAUUUGGGAAUCAGACAAUACACAUUUCCCAUGUCUUGAGCAAAUACAUCUCGGAAUCGUGAGACUGAAUGAGUUCCCUUCAGAUUUUGCUGAAAUAUUACCGCUUCAAGUGAUCGACUUACACCGCUGUGAAAAUUCCCUUUUGACAUCGGCAAAGGAAGUAUCAAAGCAACGAGAGAACCUAGGAUACGAUGCUCUUCAAAUUCGAGCUUUAAUGCCUGGACUGCUCAGAAUUUCUGUGCAAAGAGGUAUCAAUCUUGCUGCUCGCAAUCACCCCAAGAGAAGUCCUUAUGCUGCUGUCAGAAUAUCCAAACAGGUUGUCUUUUUACUAAAGACAUUUGGUGUUCUUUUUCGUAUGGGUUUUCGAUCUUUUAUGCUUUCCUUUUUUACAAAAACGAAUUGCAAUUUACUAUAUAUAAAUGAUUGCGAUGUGGAUUCUGAAGACUCGUGUUGUAAGAAAGACUGUUAAUCCCGAAUGGCGUGACGAUUUGACAGUUGCUGUUUUAGAUCCUCGUCAACCAAUUUCUGUGGUCAGAGACUCUUUCAUUAGCGAUAAAAUUAAAACAAAUUUUUGUAAAGUAAUUAUAUUUUUACCUAGCAUUCUAACAAUCUUUCUCGUUUUUUUCUUGAUCCAGUCAGCGUAUUAGAAACCGUAAUACCUAUAUGCUGAUUCUAUGUGUACGUAUGGUUGUAGACAGUGUACGACAGAAACAUGUUCAGUGUGGAUGAGAAGAUGGGAGACGCAGAGUUUGAUGUUAGACCAAAUGCCCUACCAAACGGUACAAUAAGCACAAGAAUAUCGCCUUCAAGCUCUAAUUGCCUGUCCGAAGAGAUGACAAUCUAAUGCAGGAUAUGUGCCUCAGAUUGAGAAAUAUCGAAUCCGGCCAAGUCAAACUUCAGCUGCGGUGGAUUGAUAUUCUUCCUGGCUUCGAAUAAUUUUAUUUUUCUUUAUUUCCUUCUUUCUUUUGUUCGGUUUUUCGUAUUUGUGUUGUCAUUACCAGUUUCAUAUAGUGAAAUGGCUAAUCCAGUUACAAAAUUUUGACUUCAGCAGUCCAUUUGGACUUCCGAAAAAAUUAAAAUAAAAAAUUCUAAAAGGGCUAAUCCCCAUUCGAUCGGUCCGAUUUACACCCUUAAAUUCUAUACGUAUUAAUGGGAUAAAUUUCAGGCACCCUCACCGAACCAUUGCCAUAUUGACAAUUACACCCCAAACAUUUAAAUUUUUGGAUUCUAUAUCUAUAUCUAUAUCUAUAUCUAUCUAUACUAAUGCAUAUUCUAUAUCUAUAUCUAUAUCUAUCUAUACUAAUUAUAAAAGGAUGAAUGUGGUUGGGAUUUCUUCUAUUUUUUAUUUGUAGAAAAAUGCCCUCACUAAAUUUCUUUUACAUAUAAACUUUGAAGGAAAAUUACAUAAUUUAGUUACCAAUUAAUAUACAACAAAUAUAAUAAUAAUAAUAAUAGUAAUAAUUAACUUCAUACGAUUCAUUGUAUUAAUGAGAUUAAAAUUACCAUGCAUGUAUUUAUAAUUCAAAUUCACACGAUCCCAAUGCAUUUUUCGGAAUUAAAUUGUCUAUUGAUAUACCCUGUUAAUCGGCUCUAAAACUUCUAAUCUGUAACAAUCUAAAAUAAAUGAUUAAACGAAAGAAACUCAAGGGUCUUAGUUAGUGGUUUGAGCACCAUUAAAAUUCAAUUAAUUUGGUCUAUUUCUCAGUUUUUUCAAGUUAUACCCUCUUGUGUUUCUCGAUUUUUUAAGAGUUGGAUCGUGAAGCAUGGUCAAAUUUACUUUUUUGUACGGACCCUCAAAUUUGUAGACCUCUUGUAAUUUUUUGGUUUAUCUUCCAUAUAUUAAAGUUAUCAUGUGUUCCAACAUUACAUAUAUGAGUUCAUAUAAAUGGAAUGCACAUUUCUUGUAUGCAGCAAAUGAGAAACAAGAAAAAGAGAAACAGAGGAUGAAGUGUGCACUGCAACAAUAUCGGAAACUAUUUAAAUAAUAUUGAGGGGAAGUUGCUGCUGCUGUGGGGUAAUUUGCUAUUUGGCUUUGUUUCUUUUCAAAAUGUAAGUAAUUUCGUUACGAAAUGAGUACCAAAUUUUUCAUGUUAAAUAUAUGUUAUAUAUUAUUUUAUAUAAGUUAUUGUUGUAUAUGUUAUUAAUUGAUGUUUACAAUAUAAAGUAUUGGUAAUUGAUCUAAUUCUAGGUAGUGGUAUAUCUUCCAUACUAUACAAGAAGGACAAAUGCAACAUGAUUAACUCAAUAAGUAUUAUAGAAUGUUUGAAAUUUUAUUUAAUGGAAUUGCCUUAUUGAUACCAAAGUAUAUACAAAUCCGUGUGUGUAUAGUAUAUGUAAUGUUUAUAUACUACUUAUUAAAUAAGAAUAUUUAAUGUUAACGGUAUUAACUAAUAACUAUAUAAUUUAUAGAGCAAAAUUCAUUUUGCCCUCUGUACUAUGCGAAAUGUAUCAUUUACCCUAUCCCCUUAUGUAUGGAAAACAUCAAACACCCCUCUGCCAUUAGCCUGUUUCCUAAUUUCCGUUAGUCAAACCCUUUGAAAGACUAUUACAAAGAAAUGUUGGCUCUUUUUUUUUUUUUUUUUUUAACGAAAGUACCCCAAAAAAAUUCUAUAUAUCUGCUUAAUUUUGACAAAUGUUCAUCUGAUUUAUUCCUUUUUAGCAUUUCUUUCACUUUAUUCAGUCAUUUUCUUUUUUUACUAUUUUCAGCCAUUUUUCUUAUAAUUUUUUUUGAUAAGUCGAAUAAAUAAGACUGAAGCUUUGCAGAUUAUGAAUGUAAAACCCACAAAAAAGAAAACUAAAAGCCCUGAAAUCUAAAACAACCCCUAAAAUUGGAAUAAAACCAUGUGAAAGAAUUACAAAUUAAACACAAAGCUUUUCAUAUUAUAAUAUGAAAAUCCCUCGAGAAAGAAAACUAAAAAUCUCUAAAAUCAAACAAUAAAAUUGACAAAAUUCUACAAUUUGACUUACGCUAAAAACCAUCAACAAUCCACAAAAAAUACGCCUAAAAAGGUUAGCAAUUAUAUAAGACAUAAAGCAGGGUAAAGAAGUCACUGCAUGCUCAGAUUUAAUACCGUUAAAGAUUUAAUCAUUGACCCUUAAAAAUAAGGAGGUAUUUGAUGUUUUCUAUACAUCUUGGAGUAAAUGAUACCGUUGACACAUUACUAGAGUGCAAAAUUUUUGCCCUGAUUUAUAUUCAAAUAGUGAACACCAAUCAAAUAUUCAGAGAAAUACAUAAACUUAUAACAUUCAGUGAACCUUUUUUUUUCUUAGACUAUCAAAAAACAAAUAUUAUAUGAAGGCCAGUAAGGGAAAUAUACAUUAAUAAUCUAUGCACGAAAAUGUGAAAGGGUUCCAAAAGAAAAAAAAAGGUGGUUGCAAGAAAGAAAAAAAGCUAAAAAGAAAAAGAAAGAAAACUAAUAAGUAUAAGAAGAAGCAAAGUAAAUAACAUAUUUUACUGAUAACUAAGAGCACAUCAAAUUUUGGGAAAAGAUAGAAAAAGAUACCCAAAUUAUAAAGAUAUAAUAAAAUAAAAUAAAAUAAAAAUUAUUAGACUUAUGAAUGAAAAUAUAAGUAGAAUGUAUGAGUCUAAUCAUAUUGCAAUCUUAGAUUUAGAGGGUGUUUGGCUAGACUUAGAAGAUUUUUUUUUCUUUUAAAAGUACCGCUAACCCACCUGUUUAUUUAAGAUCUUAUAAUGAGUAAAAAUAGCUUAUAAGCUCAUCACCCAAACACUUUAAUCAUUAAUUGCAAAAAUAAGACGUAACAACUUAUCAGCUCUUAAAACAUCUUAUCAAACGUAAGAGCUUAUAUGUUAUUUAAAACAAAGUUUAGCCAAACAUGCCCUUAAAAAAACUUAUCAAAAACAAUAUAAACAAUAAAAAAAACUCAUAAAUAUAUUAACUCAAGACGUGCAACGCACGUCCACUUUCCUAGUAUUUUAAAAAAUCUCAAAGGGAAUAUUGGUAGGGUGUUUAUGAUGACGACCUUAUUGACCUUAUUGUUAUCAAAUGUCAAAUGUUGACAGAGUCGCUAAUUAGACAACUUAAUUAUGACUUUGCUCUUCUUGUUAGUGUCUAAGAAAUCAACAAGUUUUUUUCUUAGCACUGCUACUUCAAUAGAUGGCUGCAGCUUAUGCAGCUUUAGUUUCUCUCACUCAUACUCUUGAUCAGAUCCUCCUCCACCCACCUCCUACCCUUGAUAUCAUUUUUGAUACAGAUCAGAUUCAAUCUCUACGAGAUAAGGCCGAGUACUUUUUGGUAGAUUUUUUCGAAAAUUAUACAAGUAGUGGAGGCAAUAAAGAGAUGGAAGACUUGGAGACGAUGAUCGGUGAUGCAGCAUAUGCAGCAGAAUAUAUCGUUGAGUUCAAUGUGAUGAACCAAAUUCUUGGAAGAUCUUCAGCCGAUAGAGAAGAAAGCUCCAAUCUCUUGUUUGAAGGUGUAGAAAUUUCAAUACAAGAGUUCCUUUUCAUUGAGAAAGAGUUGGUGAAAUUCAAGAAAGAUAUGCAACGACCUAAUAACUACUACUUGACAACAAAAGCUAGUUCUUCUUCUUCAUCAAGGCCUCUUCUUCCGGCCUGUGGCAAAAACAGCAUGGUGGGAUUCGACAACCACAUGGAUGAAAUUAUGGGCGCUCUCUCCACCAACGAAUCUAAUCUUCGGAUCAUCUCUAUUGUUGGAAUGGGAGGCAUAGGUAAGACUACCCUUGCCACUAAUGUUUUUAACAAUCCCUUUAUUGUGGAGCACUUUCAGCUACGUGCUUGGUUUACGGUAUCCCAGGAAUAUACUGACAAGAAGAUUCUCCUAGGCCUUUUGCAUCAGAUCAGUAAUACAUAUCGAAAUGCAUAUGAGAUCGAUGAUGAUGAUGAUGAUGAUGAAGAUGAUGAUUAUGAAAUAGGAGAUAGACUGCACAAAACUUUGUUUGGGAGGAAGUAUUUGAUAGUGAUGGAUGACAUGUGGGAUAUCAAGGCGUGGGAUAUGGUGAAAAGGUUCCUUCCUGAUAAUAGUAACGGAAGUCGAAUCUUUGUAACUACUAGGCUGAUGAAGUUGGCUGUUGAUAUUGGAUCUUGUAGCCCUUAUCAACUGAAUCUUCUAGAAAAAUCACAGAGUUGGGAUUUACUCCGUGAAAAGAUAUUUGCAGAAGAACGUUGCCCCGAUGAAUUGGAGGGAACUGGAAAAAGUAUUGCGACAAAAUGCAGAGGACUUCCAUUAGCUCUUGUUGUGAUUGCUGGGGUUCUUGCAAAGUCCAAGACAAAACAACAUUGGGUGUCAAUUGAAAAAGAUGUAACUUCAGUGGUAAACAAUGAAGAUGAUGAGUUCUGCAUGAAGAUACUAUUGUUGAGCUAUAAUAACUUGCCUAUACAUCUAAAGCCUUGUUUCCUUUACUUUGCCGUGUUUCCUGAAGAUCAUAUCAUCAAAGCGGAAAGGCUGGUCAGGUUGUGGGUUGCUGAAGGAUUUAUUAGGCAGUAUGGGCAUAAAAGCUUAGAAGAAAUUGGAAAGGAGUACUUGAAGGAUCUUAUUGAUCGAAAUCUCAUUUCCGUCAAUUGGAGGUCAGUUACGGGAGAAGUGACCGGCUGCAACAUUCAUGAUGUUUUAAGUAACCUAUGCAAGAGAGAAGCUCAAAAAGACAAUUUUAUUCUCUCGUUCGCUAGAAAGCUUUAUAACCCCGAUAUUUUAACUUUCAUGAAGUUCACACCACGUCUCAGCAUUAAUGAUGGAAAAUGGAAAGGGACGAAACAUAAGCCAUAUACAUCACAGAUACCUACACGGUCUUUGUUAUGCUUCUCUAAAGGGGCUUCAACUGAUUACACGGCUCGUCGGUUUCCAUUACUACGAGUAUUGGAUGUAGUUGAUAUAUAUCCCAAAGAUGAGAUUCUACAGCUAAUUAACUCAAGGUAUGUUUCUUGCAUGGGUUCGAUGAUGUUGCCGUCUUCAAUAUCCCGACUUUGGAGCCUACAAACAUUAUUGUUGAUGGAAAGUUGAUUAUGCCAGGUGAGAUAUGGCAGAUGCCCCAACUUCGACAUGUUGUGGCCAACUCUAUUAUCUUGCCCGAUCCUCCGCCUCCAGAUAAUGUCCAGAAAAUCAUACUUCUUGAAAAUUUACAAACACUUUCAAGAGUAGUAGAUUUUGAAUGCACUGAAGCGGUAAUUAAUAGAAUCCCUAAUGUGAAGAAGUUGGAAAUUGUUUGUGGGACAAUUGGAUCUAAUUGUUUAAGGAAUCUUGGACUUCUCCAUAAACUCGAACAACUUAAUCUGGAAUUAAUUACUGGUACUAGUUGCUGUGGAGAAAUCGUCUUCCCAAGUUCACUUAAGGAGUUGAUCUUAAGUGAAUGCAAGAUUCCUUGGGAAGAUAUGUCAGUUGUUGGUUCUUUGCCCAACCUUCAAGUUCUCGAGUUGCACAAAAAUGCUGCUAUAGGGAAAAAGUGGAUUCCAAAAGAAGGGGAGUUCAUUCGACUGAAGUUCCUAUGGAUUAACAUGUGUGAAUUGGAGAUAUGGGAAGCAGACAAUACACAUUUCCCAUGUCUAGUGAAACUAAAUCUUGGAUACUUAAACCUCAAGGAGAUCCCUUUGGAUUUUGACGAAAUAUUACCACUUCGAGCAAUUAACUUAUAUCACAAUAGCAGCAAUGACCUUCGGGCAUCUGCAAAUGAAAUAUCAGAGCGACGAGAGAACCUAGGUUACGAUGCUCUUUAUGUUCAAAAGUUUACAUUUGGAGUGCUCAAAAUUUGGGUGAAGAGAGGUAUUAAUCUUGCUGUUGGUGGUGGAGAUCCUUAUGUUGUUAUCACGAUGGGCAAUCAGGUUUCGUGUUCCUACUUUUUGAUGGUUUUUUUUGUUCAUUAAUGUUAUUUUCACCCUCUUCAUAAUAUUCUUUUAGACAAAAAGGAUAACAAAUUUGCAUUAAAUAUUUUGUCUUUCGAAUUUUCAAAAACAAAUUUGCAAUUUAGUAUAAAUAUUUAUGAUGCAGAGUGUGGAGACUCGUAUUGUGACAAAUGAUGUUCAUCCUAUAUGGGAUGAGGUACUCACAAUUUACGUUUCAGAUCCUAGCCGUCCAGUUUCUCUGGUGAGAUUCUCUAAUUUAAGAUAAAAAUAAAUUUGGCAACUAGUUUUGUAAUAUUUAUUUCUCACCAUUUUUCUUUGUAGAUCCAAAAUCUGUAGUUUCAAAUAUGUUAUGUGUAUAUGCUGAUUCAUAGUUUGUGUAUAAUGGUUGUAGACAGUGCGAGAACACAACAAGUUGAGCAACAUGGAUAACAAGAUGGGUAAUGCAGUGAUUGAUAUUAAACCAUUAGUACAAGCCGUUACGGUGCAUCAAAAUGGCCUUCCAAACGGUACAGUUAUCACAAGACUACUGCCUUCAAGCUCCAAUUGCCUGUCUAAAGAAAGUUCCAUUGUCUGGGAAAAUGGGAGAGUAAUACAGGACAUGUGCCUGAGAUUGGAAAAUGCCGAAUGUGGCCAAGUCGAACUUCAACUCGGGUGGAUUGAUUAAAUAGAAUCUGGUGAAAUCAAAUUUCACUCGAGUGGUUGAAGUUCAUUGUAACACCCCGCAUUUUCGGUAAAAUAAUUUUUACCACCCUUAUGUGCAUAUUUGUGAAUUAGAAUUUAUAAUAAUUCUUGCAUGGUUAGUAUUUACGUGAAUUAGGUAAUUAUGUGAAAUAUAUGAAUUAUGUGAUUAUGUGAAUUAUGUGCUUAGGAAAUAUUUUGAGAUAGUACGUCGAAAUAAAUUAUUUUUCAUAAACUAGGAUUUUAUUCUUGCAUAUGAAUUUAAAUGAGCAUUUCAUCAUAUUUUUGCAUGCACAAAAUUUUAGAAAAUAAAUUUUCUCAUGCAUUUUAGGAUUUUUAAUUAAUGUAGAAAAAUUAGAAAAUCCUCCCCUCAUUUUCUUUAAUUUUCGGACACCACACACACACACACACAUGAUUUAAAAAUUUCAUAUUAGUAGACAUGCAUUAGUGUGGUUGUACUUUGAGCAUAGAAAAAAAUACCUAAAAGCUAGCCUCCCUACCCUCUAGACUAGGCUUGCUUUUCCACUCCCACACACCACUUUAAGACCAAAGGUCUUUCUUUCUUCUUCCUCUCCCCUUCAUUUUUUCGGCAGCCAUAACACCACCACCAUAUCCACCACCUUCUCAAGCUUGAACCACCCAAGAACCACCACCACUUCUAUUUUCGGAAAUUGCAAAAUCACCCCCCACAAAAGAUGUAUUUUCCUUUCUUCUCCAUUGGCUUUGACCUCUCCAAAAACUUUAUAAAUACCUCACAUGCUCAAGAUCAAAAUACACUCUCCACCUCCAAUCUUACUAUCCUUAAGUUCAAAGUCUCCUUCUAUUUCAAUAGAAGAAGAAUUUUCGGCCAAGGCUAAGUAAGCUUCCUCUUCCUCUUUUCUUUUUUUUCUUUUUUCGAAAAGAGCCAAGCUCUUCUUCAUCCAAGUUCUUCUUGUUCUUCUUCUUCUUUUCUUAAUACAUAAUCUAACUCUUAAUCUUUUCUUGUAUUAGAGAGAAAAGAGCUAACAAAUCCUUCCCCUAAAGAGAGAGGUGAGAAUUCUUGAUUUCUUGCUCAAACAUGCAACACCACUAGUAUUUUCAGUUUUUAUGUGUUUUUAUUGCUUAUCCUUGCAUAUUAUGUGAUUAUAUGGUUUAGAUGAUGAUUGAAUGUUAGUAUUUUGAAAAUAUAACUUUGUUCUUGAAGUUCUAUGAUUUUUCGAAAAUUUGGGGAAAAAUGCAUAAAUUGCUUAUUUGGCUUAAUUAGUGCCUUGCAUGUGUUAAUCUAGUGUUUGAUUGUUGAUUUGUGAAAAGAAAAUGAAUUUUUGGCCUAGCCAUGAAACUUUCGGAUUUUUGGGGGAAAAAAUGCAUAAAUGGCUUAUUUGGCUUAAUUAGUGCCUUGCAUGUGUUAAUCUAGUGUUUGAUUGUUGAUUUGUGAAAAGAAAAUGAAUUUUUCGCCUAGCCAUGAAACUUUCGGAUUUUUGGGGGAAAAUGCUUAAAUAGCUUAUUUGGCUUAAUUAGUGUUUUGCAUGUGUUAAUCUAGUGUUUGAUUGUUGAUUUGUGAAAAGAAAAUGAAUUUUUGGCUUAACUAGGAAACUUUCGAAUUUUUGAGGUAAAGUGCUUAAAAUUGCUUAUUUGGCUUAUUUGAUAUCUUGCAUGUGUUGAUCUUGUGUUGGUUGUUAUUUUAAGGCCUUGCAUGUUAAGAUUGGUGAUUGAUUGUUGAUCUAAGGUCUUACAUAUUAAGAUCUAGUGAUUGAUGGUUGAUCUAAAGUCUUGCAUUUUAAGAUCUAGUGUUUUCUAUGAAAAUGAUGAAAGAACUAAGAAUUUGUGCUAACUUGAUUUAAAAUACCCUUGUAUGUAAAGAUCUAGUGUAUUUACUUGAAUAAAUGCAAAGAUGGAAGUCUCGAAUUUUUAUUCUUGUAAAAAUGCUAGAUUUAAUGAGCUUUUGAUGUUAGAUUGUCUUUGCAUGUUUAGAUUUUGGUUACUUUAUGUUUUUGUGGCUAAAUGAUUUUUUGAAACUUUAUUUGUAAUUUCUUAUGUGCUCUUGCUUGCUUAUGUGAAUCAUUGGGUGUGAGGAUGAGAGAAGGGUAAGUAGAAGGGUGCAUGUGUGGGUGCAUUAGUGUAUGAAAUUUUAAAAGAUAAAACUAUGAUGGAAAGUCUUUCGAGGUUACGGUAAAUUUCCCGGGUACGGCGAGUCGGUACCGUAGGGCCUAGGGGUGGUUUGAUCCCACGUAGAUAGACAGAUUCGAAAUAUAUGAGGUUAUUUACCGGUAACUUAGAUUGACUCUUCCGAGGGAUUCCCGAUGAUUUUUCAUGUCAUGCAUGUUGCAUUAUGGUGUUGAGGAUAUGAAUGAGAAAAUCUCACUCUAUGGUCUUGGGAUCGUAAGGUUAUAAAGGUGGGAAAUUCUCAUUCUAUAAUCUUCAAUACGUGUCAUGGCAUAGGGUUAUAAAGGUGGGAUAUUCUCACUCUAUGGUCUUGGGAUCAUAGGGUUAUAAAAGUGGGAAUUUAUCUCACUCUAUGCGUGUGACAAUUAUGUGAUGAAGAACGCCGACGAAAAAGGGAAGUAUAUGAUUGCUUUAAUUUAUGUUGCAUGUCCAUGUAUAAGAUAUAUGUAUGUAUAUAUAUAUAGAUAUAUGUAUGCUCUAUGUGUUAUGUGUAUUCGAUAAUACUUCAAGAUUCUCAUUGAGUCCUCAAAGGCUCAUAUAGGUGUUGUAUGUUUGUAGGUAUACCCGAUUUGGAGCCCGAGGAGUGAAGUUGGGAACCGAGCUCGAGAAUCGGAAGGAGAUCGUAUGGAGGGGUUGUGGAUUGUGUUGACUCUUAAUUUAGUUAUAUGGUUCUAUUUGUAUAAUAUGCUUGUAAAAACUAUUGAUACGGUUUUAGGUAUUUUCUACCGUUCGCUUCCUCCGAUCGGUGGAAACUAUUAAAAGACAAUAUGUAUAAUAUUAAUUAGGAUUACCCUCUUUUGGAUAUUUAAUCAGUAAUCCGUAGUAUUUUGUAAGCGAAAGCGAAUUUUACUAUAUAUAUGCAUGCACGCUUUUCGGCUAGUAACCUCUUCGUGUCUUGCCUCGAUGUUUGGAAAUUAUUUUCAUAUAGGUUCUCUGCUUAGAAAAUCAUGAAAGUUUAGUAGUCUCUGCAUCUCUCUGUUCUCAUCAUAUUGAUAGGUCGUUUGUAUGAUUUGGGUAAGUAUUCAAUUAGUUAUGAUUUAUUUCUCACUACUGCACUGAAACAGGGUCAUCCGGGUGUUUUCUGGUAUAACUGGAGUUUUACUCACUUAAAUGCAUUGUUUCCACUUGGAAAGUGUUUUGAACUUAUUUUUCUGCCUUGGGUUAAAAUUUGGUAGUUUUUGGGUCAGUGAGGAAUUUAUUACGAAUUUUCAUAACUCCCUCCCCUGUUCUGGAUUUUAAACUGAGUGACUGUGCCAUUUUAUUUAUUUCUCCUAAAUGGCCAAGAAUCUUUCAAAACUGUUUUAACGGAGUGAUAUGGACCCAUAUUAGAUAGUAUGAUAUUAUUUUGGGGUUAUUUCAAUGCGUAGUUUAAGAGUAAUUAAUUUUUAAAGUUUCUGCACUGAAUCUGUCCGAACUUGCAUUAAGUCCAUCAUGCGUAGUUAUUUUUUUAGUCUUGCAUGUAGCAUGUAUUUGUGUUAAUUGUUUGAUUAGGGUUUAGUAUAGUGUGACCUCUCUCCCUCUGAUUUAAAAAGAAAAAUCUUUACGUAAAUUUAUAUCCACAAUAAUCAUUUUUAAAAGUCUUCCGCUAAAAUUACAUAUAAUAAGAGUAAUCGAGAAAGGGGUGCCACAUUUCUACUACCACUAAUUUACGGGUGUGAUUGGAUCAAAUUAAACAUUGAGUAAAAUAGUGAAAUUGCAAUGUAAAAUAAUUGAUACGUUUAACGAAAUCAUAAAUUUAAAUGGAAAUUUUGUUUUAUUGUAAUUUCGGACAUGUAUAGUAAUUUUUUUUUAAUUCAUAGGAGGUAUAGAAGAAGAAGAAAUAAAUGUAACAUCAAUUUGAUUAAUAAAAUCGAAAUGGCUAGUCCAAAUAAUUGGAGAAGAAUGUAGUAGAAGGUGACUCGUAGGAGGUUAUAUUGCCGCAGUUAGUGAAUCUUCAAGUUCCGAAGCUCCAUACAUGAAUAUCAUAGAGGAUAUCGAGCGGGUGAGUGAGUGGUUUGAGCAUUUUUGGAUACAACACGUUUCAGGGGAGGCCAAAUAAGUAGCUCAUGAAGUAACAACUUUGUCGAAGACGGAUAAUUUCUCUAUUUAAGUAGGAGAGAAGCUCAAAAACAUAAUUUUAUAGUCCCUUCAAAACUGGUAACCAAAAUGCUUCACCAGAUCCACCUCAGAAUUAAUGGUGGCCAAUGGAAAGAUAUGACACUAACGAAUUUGUUAUAUCAAGAACAAAUUUGAGCUUUCUAAAAUCAGAUUUUUUUGUUUUUCAAUUGUUUUGAGUUUGAAUACUAACUAAUGCAGUUUUACUGAUCUCAAGAUUUGAAUCUUCUGCCUUUUUCUUAAUGAAAAUUCGGUUCGGUGUUUGGUAAUUUAUUUUUUUUGAAUUCUGAGAUUCGGUACGGUAUACGGUAUUGGUGUCCGGUAUACCGUACCGUACUGAAUACCGAAAUAUUUAAUAUAUAUUUAUUUUUUUCUUUUAUUUUAAAUCCUUUAAGGUUAUAAAAAUAUUCUAAAAUACUUAUAGAUUGAAAAUGUUUUUCAUUAUUUUCAAAUUAGCCUCUAUUCAUAAUCACUUUAUGUUUUUAGGGCAGGCUAUUGAAAUUUGAAUGUCAAAUUCAAGAAUUAUUUCGUUUAAAUUGUUAUUGUACCUUUUCUAAAAUAAGAAAAUAUAUUUCGGUUUUACCGGUACCGAACCGUACCGAACCGAAUAAUUUGGUAAAAAACCAUACGGAACUGAAAUAUAUUUUCUUAUUAGAAACCGCAAUACCUAUAUGUUGAUUCUAUAUGUGUACGUAUGGUUGUAGACAGUGUACGACAAAAACAUGUUCAGUGCGGAUGAGAAGAUGGGAGACGCAGAGUUUGAUAUUAGACCAUUUGUACAAGCGUUUAAGAUGCAUCCAAAUGCCCUAAGCUACCAAACGGUACUAUAACCACAAGAAUAUUGCCUUCAAGCUCGAAUUGCCUGUCUGAAGAGAGUUUCAUUUUCUGGAAGGAUGACAAUCUAAUGCAGGAUAUGUGCCUCGGAUUGAGAAAUAUCGAAUCCGGCCAAGUUAAACUUCAGCUGCGGUGGAUUGAUAUUCCUGGCUACGAAGAUUUAUAGACCACAUCUUGUUGUCGCUUCUCGUUUCUUCGUAUCGUGGAUUUUU